CUGAGCUGAAAACUUUUGGCUGAAAUUUAAAAUACUGGAUAUACUUGGCUAAAAACUGAAACCUAAAAGUACAUUUAAAAAACUUAACUAAAAACCUGUUUUAAAAGAACGGCCAUUUUGUGUAAUUGUAUAAAUAUUUUGCGUUUAAUAAUCAUUUUCACGUGUCUGAAAGACUGUGGUGACAGAAGGUGUCAGCGUGCUAGUUUGGCUGUGUUGAAGCUCUGUUGCUUUGCUGUACCCUGCGUAUUGAAUUGGAUGUCAUGCUUUCACUUGGUGCAUCAGACCUGUCUGUAGUGCCUCGGCCAUGUACCACCUUUUUAAACCUCAUCUGAGCAACGACUGCAAAUUGCUGUUUUGACGUCCGUGUCAGAAACUUUGAAAUUGUUCCACAUUGCUGAGGAGCUGUAGCAGACGCAGCAGCACUGAGACAUCAAGUGACUCUUCUGCUGCACAGACACACUGAAGAACACACACACACACUCAACACAAACACACAGAGAAGAAAACACUAACUAUACACAAAAGCACUGAGAGAAAAUGUACACACACACACUCCACACACAUUACAAUAGCUUUAAAUCUAAGUGACAGUCGCUCUCCUGUUUACAUGUUUACUGAUCGGAACACAGCAGCUGCAGGUACAAAUAAGAAUUAAUCACUCCAUUAUAUAAUAAUAAACAACACUGCUAUUUUUUUCCUCUGUAUUUGCAUGUUAAUGCAGUACAAUGAAUGUAAUAUUUUUUAGUAAAUAUGAGAAUAUUCAAUUUGACACAGAGGUCAGAGGAAUUAUGGGAAACAUUUUUACAAUAGUUUUUGUACACAUUUGUAAAUUUUGUUUAUUCCUCCAUGUGUGUGAUUUUAAAUUAUAGAGGUUUAUUUUUAUUUGUACUUCACACUACUUUAUUAA
ensembl:lncRNA